AUUUGCCUGAAACUAGAAACAAAUUAUUGGUUAUAAAUGUAUGUUCACUGACAAACAUGUAUAUGUAAUACAGUAAAACAAACAAACAAAAAAAAACACUUUCAGAGUUAAUUUAUCCACUGAGCAACAUCCCCAGCCCUAUUUAGUAUUUUACUUAGAGACAGAGUUGCUUAAUACCAUGUUAUUUCUGAGGCUGGCUUUGAACUCAGGAUGCUCCUUCCUCAGCCUCCAGAGCCACUCAGAAUACAGUCAUGUGCUACUGCACCUGGCCCCAAAUUUGUUUUCUUUUACAAGUAAAGUAUCUGUGGGUAGUUCUGACUGAGGCAUAGCUGAUUUCAGAAAUCAGGGUCUUUUCACCUCUCACUUCCCAUUUCAUUUCAGGGCCUUUCCUGAGCCAUAGUUGGCAAUAAGCUUUCCAUGCUCACUUUCUACAGUUAUUUGUGGCCCUCUGGAACAGUAUGUCUGGACCAGCUCAAACCAACUUGGCAGGUUAAGAGCCUCUUGUUCAGGGGGCUUCAUGCUAUGACUUCCUGUUCUGGGUAACCUGUCUGAUUCACCCCACAUGGAGUGGAAUGCAGAAGGGGAUUCCCAGGAAAAAACACAAGCAACUUCUGGAAGAAGAGAAAGCAGACACUGGAGACAAAUAACACAUCAGACUCCCUUCUGAUCUUCAGGGAAGCCAUUGUCUACAUGUGGAGCUGAGAAGUCUAUGUUAGUUCAUGACACUGUCCAAGCACUCAGGGCUCAGGACAUUCCCAUCUCAUAGAUGAGGAGACCAGAACUCAGAGGGAAUUAAACUUCCUGUAAAAGGCCACUGGCCUUGAAAGUGGUAGACCUGAAUAUGAAUACAAAUCCAGACUGUUUUGAAUCAGUCUUGACCUCCCAGCUCAAGGUUACUCUCCAUCAAGUACAAGAAGAUUAUCAUUGACAUAGAGGAGGAAGAGGGGAAGCAGGAAAGAUAAAGAUUCCCUGAUAGAACUUCACAUAGACCCUGUACUGGUAAAUUUGUUCCUGAGUUCAGGAGGCUUCCUGCCUACUAAUAUUUUCUAGUGGUUAAUACACAUAUAUAUUUCCACAUAACUUUUUGGAAUUUUUGCAUUAGUAUUGUUUUUUGAUCACUUAUUUUUCUUAAGUCAACUUACCUGUUAUACUUACAGAAAUGUCCUCAAAACCUUAAGUGUUUGUGGCAGUUUUAAAUCAAAAUGAGUAAUGCUUGCCUCAAAUAAAAAUUCGCUUUAAAAGUCCAUAAAAGGAUUAAAUGAAAGGCUAGUAAUCUGUUCAUUCAAUAUCAUCCCACAAUUGAAGUGGGGUCUUCAGAAUCAAUUUGGAAAAUUAGAGCUACCAGGUCACACCAGAACACAAAUGACCCCUAUGCUCCUUCUCCACAUGCAGUUUUUCAUUCCUGCAAUUUCCUCUGCACUCUGACAGCAAGGCUAAGGAACUACCAGCUCCUGUAAACCAGGAUGCCAGGUUAUCCUACCCCAAAUGUGGCCAAGUCUCCACACCUUAUCCUCAGGCUCUAGGUCCUGGCCACUGCACCCCUAGUUUCUGAACACAUACUUUUAUAGGUGUAUAAAUUUCUUCAGGGUCCUUGCUUUCUUCCAGCACUAUUUUGCCUGAACAUUGUAUCAUGUUAUAACUCCCAUUUUACCUUUAGUGUGAUUAUUUCUUUAAGUGUCCUGGGAAGAAGUGACCAGGUUUGCAGGAUGUAUCCAGGAAGCCAGGCAGUGCUAGGCCAUGAACAUCUUUUCCCAAUUUUCCUUUGUCUACCUGCUGCACAAAUGUCUGUCUUAGACCAAUUUUCAGGGGAAUACACAGAGGCCACCAACCCAGAAAUCAAGAAGGGCUUUGAGAUUAAGAACAAAUACUAGUCACUGUGAAGAGAAAAAAGUCAGUCCUCAGGGACCUGGUCUAACUAUCUUGCACAAACAGCUGUGACAGAGCUGUAUUUGAUCAAUAUCCCCUGAUUCCUUGCACAAGGUUUUCUUUUAUUCAACUGAGAUUAUUUCUAUCCCAAAUGAAAUUAAUCUCCUUUCUCUAAGGACAGAGUGUGCAAACUUCUCAUUCUAAAAUUGUUUAUUCUCUGUGGAACAGCCAUGUAGUCAUAAUGACUUUCUCUCACCUAGUAGAUGAAACACAUGACCUCCUAGAAUCUAAUGAUCCUAUAGAAAUAGAAAUAAAAAACUUGGGAAAACAAAAGGAUCUAGAGAUCCCCACCACACCUUGCCCUCAUCCUGAAGACUCCAAGACUUUUCAUCCUGUGGAUGGAAAAGGCUUCGUGUGACUGCAUAAACCAGAAGGCUACACAUGAAGUACAUUUCCUCUGUCUCAGAAAGCAAUAUGAAGUCAUUGUGUCUUCAAGAAGUCAGGUUGUGGCUUAAACUCUUUUCUCUCAUACUUGGCCACUCAGCUCCCUGCUUCUCAGCCCUGUUUCACAACUGGGUUUCAGUCUGGCUCCUCUCUCAGUGCUGGUAAGGGUCAUCCUUAAGGGGUCAAUGCAUCCCACCUGCUCAAACUCAGUACAACUACACCAUAAAUAAAGCUGAGUAUGGGUGAGAGACACAAAGAGUCUAAGGAGAAGAGGUCCAAAUAAUUUAAGGACAGAUAUUCUCCCAAAAACCUAGAAUUCCAAGAAAGUGUGGUCUUGUUGAAAAGGGAUGGGAGAGAACAGAAAUCAUUCCCCAAACAAGAAUACUUCCUCUAAACUCACUUCUAGUUUUAUUAUUUGGGAUAAGAUGUUUAUAUUUUACAGAUUAUUUUUAGAAUAGCUAAAAACUAUAAGGAACCCAAUCAUCCAAAAUAGUAAUAUGGCUGGGUAUCUAUGGUGCGACUAUUCUACAAGCUCUUAUGCAGACUUAAGAAUGAUGGUUUUAAAAUAUGGAUGCUUU
rnacentral:lncRNA from 1 species